rnacentral:lncRNA from 1 species
AGUGUGUCUAAGAAAGAUUUUUGUUGCCUAGACCUUCUGCAGUAAUUUGUGUGAAACGUUUUAGGAGGGCAAAAAUGAGAUGGCAGCAGUUACACUUUAUCUUUGGAAUCAUUCAAUAAAAACCCACAGUGCUUUAAGUGAGCUUAAUUAUAGCUGUUCUGUUACAGCUGAACACAGUUUUCCACUCAGCGACGGACAGCUGGCUACAUCUGAGACUUUUAAGAGUCAGGCCCAAGUAAAGUUACUUGUUGAACUGGAAUAAGAGCUGGGAUUGUGCUGCAAACAGCCAAGGAAAGUGGAGGUGCUGGAUACCAUAGCUGUGUAAUAAUCAUCUCCUCUUCCUGCUAAGGAAAAUACCAGCAUGACAUGCUCCAAAGCACAUGGACGACAGACACUCUGUACCCCUACAGGCAAAUAAAACCCUCCCUGGCCUCUUGAUCACACCCCAACAGAGCAAGCCGAGGCUGUGCCGACAUGUGAGCCUGUGUAAGGGAGCAGGCUGUGUUACAGACCUCACUCCGUGGUACAACACGCGCUCUGAACGGCCAUGCAUGGAGACAGGCAGGGCAGGGGCUGCCCAGCCAGCUGGACAGGAGGCACGCCAGGAAGUCCAGUAAAUGCUUCUAAGCUGAGUUAAGGUACGUUCCUGAAACGGUAAUCUCCCCCUUUCAUUCAGAAAUCCUCACAGGAUGAGCUUUGCUGACUUGAAGAGGAAAAAAAGGAAAACUUCUUCCUGUAAAUACUUAAGCAGAAGGAAAAUUUCACAGGGGAAAAUGAUUGUCAUAAAGGUAAUAAAUCUGCAAGGAGCUUAGUAAUGCA